UACGAAGGGGGCUAGCGUUGCUCGGAAUCACUGGGCGUAAAGGGUGCGUAGGCGGUUCUUUAAGUCAGGGGUGAAAUCCUGGAGCUCAACUCCAGAACUGCCUUUGAUACUGGCGAUCUUGAGUCCGGAAGAGGUGAGUGGAACUCCUAGUGUAGAGGUGGAAUUCGUAGAUAUUAGGAAGAACACCAGUGGCGAAGGCGGCAUCCUGGCCCUGUCCUGACGCUCAGGGGCGAAAGCGUGGGGAGCAAACCGG
rnacentral:rRNA from 1 species